UACGUAGGGGGCUAGCGUUGUCCGGAAUCAUUGGGCGUAAAGCGCGUGUAGGCGGUCCGGUAAGUCCGCUGUGAAAGCCAGGGGCUCAACCCUUGGAUGCCGGUGGAUACUGUCGGGCUCGAGUACGGAAGAGGCGAGUGGAAUUCCUGGUGUAGCGGUGAAAUGCGCAGAUAUCAGGAAGAACACCCGUGGCGAAGGCGGCUCUCUGGGACGGUACUGACGCUGAGACGCGAAAGCGUGGGGAGCGAACAGG
rnacentral:rRNA from 1 species